rnacentral:rRNA from 1 species
UUUCCUACGGGACGCAGCAGUGGGGAAUAUUGCACAAUGGGGGAAACCCUGAUGCAGCGACGCCGCGUGAGUGAAGAAGUAUUUCGGUAUGUAAAGCUCUAUCAGCAGGGAAGAAAAUGACGGUACCUGAUUAAGAAGCCCCGGCUAACUACGUGCCAGCAGCCGCGGUAAUACGUAGGGGGCAAGCGUUAUCCGGAUUUACUGGGUGUAAAGGGAGCGUAGACGGCAGCGCAAGUCUGAAGUGAAAUGCCGGGGCUUAACCCCGGAACUGCUUUGGAAACUGUGCAGCUAGAGUGCAGGCGAGG